rnacentral:lncRNA from 1 species
AAUUCUCCAGAAAUUCAAUAUGUAGGGUGGAAGCACUCUGUGUUAUCCGUUCCCUCAUUUUAUGAUUAACUUGGGCACUUUAAUGUCCAUUUAUUCAAGUCCAGAUUCCAAACCCAUAAAAUUCUUCGGUCAAAUUAUAAAUCUGUAGGAGCAUUGAGAACAUUUUGCAGGUCAUGGGGUUGGGGAUGUCAUAGAAAAAAAUCUCUCAAGCCUGUGGAUGAUAUAAUACCAGAAAAUAAAGAACUCAUCAUUCUGGCUAGAGAAAACAAAACAUCACUCCUCUCUGCUGUUUCUUCUCUAUCCUCUCAUGCCCUGACAACAGAAAACAAGACAGAACCGCAUGCUAGAAGUGACCAGCAGGGCUAACAGCAAAAUAAAUGCAAACACCGUCCAGAGGGUACGCCCCGUAAAUAACUGUUGUUUCUGGAAUCCAAGUUUAUAUGGGCACCUUGUAAUUUCACCUUCAAAGCAAUCUCAAUGUAUUUUUCUCAUGGAGAUUUGUCAUGUCUAGAUUAGAAAAGGAGCCCUAGAAGACAGAAAACACAAGGUGCAACUCUGGAUUAAUGUCCAUCUGGUUUCCCUGAGAACAGAAGAGAUAGGGAAGAGAACAUAGAGAAAGACCUGAUGAAGUAAUGGGGCUGUAGAGCCCCAGGAUAGCAUUGGCACAGCUGGGCUUUGCUGGUCCCUGGGGUUUCAUGGAGUUAGCACUUAUGGUGUUGUGUUCUAGUGUUUCCCUGAAGAGCACUUCUGUGUGAUCAAGGGACUAGCUUGCCUCAGCUUCCAACCCCCCAGAGUCCUGCAAGCGAAACUCUCAAGCGAUCCCUCUGAAGAACUCAAUUUUGAAACCAAAGUAAACCUCAUGCUGGGGUUAAGGUCACAGCCAAGGCCAUUUCUUGUCCUUCUGAGAGCUAACACAAAGAGUUGAAACCCACACUAUGUCUGAGGGGAAGAGCUGAAGCAAACUCUCAAGUCCAGGCCUCAGCACACACGCAGGAGGGCUCCCACCUCGACCUCAGAAGACGGGCAGGUGUCAAUGACUACCUUCACCUAGUCUCCAACCUUGUAUCAGCAUAGCCAUAAAAAUCAGCUAGAAGUUGUUUUCUCUGACAAGUAGGCUCAUUUUGUUCAUGUGGUUUUCCUCUAAAUCGCCUGAAUUUUCUACCAUUUUCCAUGAACACCAUCAAAGCUAGAUUCGGCGCCUUUCACAGUAAUUGAGACUUGAAAUGGGAACCGGAGUGCUCUGGCAGGCUGAAAGCAGAUCAAAGCCGAACUCAGUGAGAGCUCUGCAGUAAGAGCUCCAUCAGUGAAGCCCUCAGGAAGGGACCACAGCCGGAGUCGGCCUGCCUUCCUGAAGUGUGUCUUCAUGUCCACCUUGGUGUUCAUAUGAGUUUGCAUAAUUUAUAGCAGACGAGUAGAGAUAGCUCAUUCUUUUUGGAGCCGCUCAUGACUAAUAGACUCCAAUGUCCAAUCUUAGAACGUUAAUUGUGACGGGAGCUAUUGUGGGUACCACAGCAGGAAACAGAAGAUACGGACAAAGAAUUUCAGAAGAGCCAAACAACCCCAAGACUGCUAGUCGGGUGGCAGUUCUCUGAUUCUUCCAGGGAGUGCUUUCCUAGGUAGCUCCUGUGGUUUCGCAGUGACCACUGUGGCUCCUGUAUCGUUCACGUGAGACAUAUUUGUUGGGCACCAACUGUAUUCUAAUCAUCAUGGCAGGUGCAGAUGGGGAAGGGCACAGCCAACAAGGCCUCCAGCAGGUGUUAGCAAACACUUGAGCAAACGAAGGGGACAAUUCUGAAUCUUGAUAAGUCUUAUGAAUAAAAUUAAAGGAGUUUUGGGAGAGGUCAGAGUAGACAGUGGGGGAAAAUAAGUUAGACUGGACACUCACAGAAAGUUUUCUUAAGGACGUAUAUUUGGGGAAUUGAAGGAUGAAAAUUAGACAAACAUUUAAAAGGAUCCUGGACAAGAAAAUAAUUAGAGGGCAUGGUCUUAUUAGCAUAUUUCUGAGUUAGAUUUAUCAAAAUUAUUAAUAACAAGUGCAAGGGGAAAAUGAGAGAACUCUAACUGACAUGGGAUUUCAGAUAAACUGAAGACCACUGGGGAAGUCUCAGUGGCUGCCUGUUAGUGGUGGAUAUGAUGAUGGUGGUAGCCAGCAUUCACAGAGAGUUAUACCUGAGUGACACCACAUAGGGUACUGGGCAUGCAGUAGAUAGUUAGACACAGAAAGACUUCUUAAUUUGCUUUGCAGUUCUGAGCAAAUCCCAGGCAACCCACAGGGCUCCCUUGUCUAGACUCUCCUCAGUGCCUCACACUCCUGGCGUAAUUAUUCCUUGAGCUGUCAGGGUUCCUUAUAUCACACAGCAUUGUCAAGAGGGAGCUAUCAUGUGACACCUGCUAUUUAGGAAUCUAAAGGAUGGGUCUCUAGAGCCCUUAGCAUGGUUAGAAUCAUCACUGGCUGCUCCUGAACAUGUGACUAUUGCGUUGUAAUGCUUAAAGCUCACUACGAUGAAGCAGAAGGACCACAAUAACAAUAAGUAUUAUUAUUAUUAUUAAUGUGUACCCUAAGAACCAAUUGCGUAUUAGUACAAAUGUCUUCCAGAUGACACCAGGGUGGCUCCAGCCAUGUGCUCACAGUCAAUGUCAUAAAGAAAAUACAUGUUGCCUCGUAGAUUUGUAUCACAAGAUAACCACGUAAAAACACAAAACCAAUAAAGAAGUAUCCACAGACUGUUUUUUACCUAGUGGGCCUCUUCUAAUAUUAGAACCAUAAAGGAUAGGUUAAAUGCUUAAAAUGAGUUCACUCUAUCACUUGUAUUUAUGGAUAUUUUUCCCCUGAAAGGGAAAAAUCACAGCAUUUUCCUACUAAGUUUUGAAUUGUAUAAAAUCUUACUGACAACAAUCUGACCUGGCUUCUUUUUACUG